rnacentral:lncRNA from 10 species
CUCACUCCCGGCCGGUCCAGCCUGGCUUCACCCGAGUUUUGCUGUGAAAUCCGCCACUUUCGCUGGCCCCGGCAAAAAGCAAGGCGCCUCGUCCCGAGGGCAGAGUUUCUUGCAACUGCCGGAUAAACAUUUCCCGAAAGCUUCCCGCGGCCCCCACGCCCGGUCCCCCCACUUCACGAGCCCCGGGGAGGGGCCCACCUGCCUCCCGCCGCCCGCCCCAUACCCUGUCGCCGCGGCUGCACUCCAGGGCCGCACCGCAGCGCCCACUUCCCGGCCCCGAGCCCCCCACGACUCGGACGCCCGACCCUGAGGGACGGGGGCGCCAAAAAAGCACCCCCCGACACAAGUGACCCCACGA